UUUUUACUAGGAAGUCAGUUGUGCACGUGUUUCACUGCUCUGUUGUAUGGGAAGUUUAAAUCAAUUGCAUAAUUAGUUUUCGUUCCAGUCCAAGCUUUUUGAUUUAGGGUGCCAUCUGCUCUCCUUUAAUGACAAGGUGACAAUGAGAAGGAGUAGAAUAGAUUGUUGAAGGAGAUUGGGGAAGUGCUCACUGUUUGUUGUCAGGAGUAGAGCAAAAUCAGAAGCUAAAGACGUCAUUUUCUUCGUCAGCUGAAGCUUUCCCUAAUGUCAGAAUAUGAGUGAAGAAGAAAUAGGCGAAGGAAGAUUGUCCACAAAAAUGGAUGUCUUUCCAAUCGUGAAAGGAGCAGAUGGAGGAUUGGAAGAAACAACAAAGUAAAAAAGUUGUGGGAAUUUACUAAUUGUCUUAUGAAAGUGGGUGCUAGACUUCGCCAUACAGCUUGUAGAAACGGGAAUAGAAAAUGAUGCUCUCUUGGCAUUGAUCAUUUUAUCUUUUCAGUUUGUCCUGGUCAAUCAUGAGUAUUACAAUGGUGUUGCAUGGAAGGAACAGAUGGAGGAUUGGAAGAAAAAACAAAGUGUUGCAACCCUUUGCUGCUUCACUAUUCUAACUCCUUUUGUUUCCAUUUUGCCACAAUCUAGAAGAGGGUUUAGUAAAUAGUAUGAUUGCGUUCUAGACCCAUUUGAAGACAAGUUACAAGUAAUACUGAUCUCAUGUUAGACUUUCAUGUUCAAGAAGACUUCGACAUCACCACAAGGUUUUGGAGCAUCAUGUAGGGUUGAUUUUGAGAUAGAAGCUUGGAAAUUUAGGAUACCAGACACGAAUACUUAGGGACUGCAAUGGGUUCAUCAGUGCUGGACUGUAGAGGUGAGCAGUUCCUUCACUGGCCGCGAGGGAGUGGAGGCUCAGUCUGAAAAAAAGGUUGCAAGAAGCCCCGUAGGAAGAAAAACGGAUUUUAAAAUGGUAACAUAAUCAAUGUUUUGUGUUUAAAGUUGUGAUUUGUCAAAAAGAACUUGAGGUACUUUGUUUUUUGUUACAGAGGUUUGGUUUCCUCAUAGGCUUGAUUGAGAAAAUUCUUUCUGGGAAUGUCUCAUCUCUGCCUUCUCGACUUAAGGCUUAGUGAAAAAGAAGUAGCAGUUGAUGACACAACACAAUGAGCCUCACUGCUCACUUGAAAAACCAAGUGCACUUUGAAAUCCCCAUGCUUAUCUGUUUUCACUUCUUUCUUGAAUUUCAGUUUGGAAUUUCCCUCUUUGCAUUCUACAGCUAUAGAUGCACCUUUACACAAAUAUUGGGCAUAAACCAUAUAAGCCUCAGAAUUAUGACAAUAACUUAAGGAUAUGAAGUGGAACCACUGCAAGAAAUGGAUCUGAAGUGAAGUGGCUUCCCAUGGAGAAAUCCUGUUGAAAACAUGUGCCACAGUACACAGUUCCAACCACCACAACUGAAGGAAGAAGGUCGUUGCUGUCAAGGCUAGCUUCUAGAAGACUACCACGAGUGAGACUGAAACAAAAUUACCAGGAACCAAGACAUUCUAAGUGAAGAGGAAACUAAGGAGAAUAUUUUUUCAGUAUUUCCCGUGACUGUGAGAUGUCCUUUAGACUUGGAUGCGAGAUGGAUGAGGAGACACCUGAUAAGCUAGAAGUUUUUCAGAGCUAAGGUUGAAUCCUUAUUGGCCAGAGACAUGGAGACAUCUAUUAACAACACUACAAAGGAAGGGAGAUCAAUUUUCUCUACUGUUGAUACAUUGAUACACUAUACCCCUCUUCCUGUAGUUUUGCUGCCUUCCGGUCCGUUAACUGGCUAAAAGAAACCAAUUAUGCCAUCUUCUCAAGAUGAAUGCUCCAAUGUCCAAACCCUUACUUUAAUCCCUGUUGUGAAUUUAUUUUCCUUCUUUUAUAUAUUUACUUUAAAGUUUUUCUUGGUCACAACUCGCUUGCUUACACGGUUGAAAUUUCAGGUGGUGAACUGUUUAUGCUUUGUCUGAAAGACUUCUAAAGUAGAUUAAUAGAUCCCAAAGUAUAAUUUCAGCGGUGUUAGCUUGGCAUGGGCUCAAGAUGCAAAUUCAUUAUUUUACACUAUGUUAGAUGAAAGCAGUGGCCUAACAGGGUUUUUUGUAAAAAUACUUGGAUAUGAUCCUAUGAAUGAUUUUGCAGUAUUUACAGAAAGUGAUUCCAAUUAUUGCGUGGAAAUAACAAGCACAAAAGAUGGCAAGUUCACAACUGUUAACUUGAACUUAAGGACUUCAUUGGAGGAAGGAAGUAGACAAAAUGAAAAGGCCAACUCUUUUUUGUGGGUUUGUGAGUGUGUCACCAUUUUGCUGAGAAAAAUUGGUGUGAGUGCUGCAUCAGAGGGAGAAUUGGGAUAUUUGAAUAAAGGUGCCCCUUGGAGCAGUUGCUACCAGUUUUAUGUACUUAUCACUUACGUCUUUGUUUCU